GCGCAGGGAGAUAGCGAGCCAGCCUUCAUUUACGAAAAGGUAGCCCAACAAACACCCCCAACGGUGAUGUGACCACCGUAUUUGUGAAAGAACCUUUGGGGACUCCCUAGAGACGCCCAAAUUUUGGCUUCUGGAACCGCUUCCGUAGACAACUCUUGGUCCCUUUGAUUAUUCCCCUUAACCAUUACAACCAUCUUGUGAAGUUGGUGUUGGUUUUGUUCCCAUUGCAGGUGAGUAAACUGAUGGUAGGGAAGUGACAUGACCCUGCAGGAUCAGGCAGGCAGGCAGAGCAAGGCUCAAAAACCACCCUGAGAGAUUCUAUAGUCCCCAUUUCUCCAAAACCACUAUGAGGAGGAAGGGGGAUCCAGGUCUUCUGCCUCCCAGUGAAGCUUCUUGUUCUCUGAACAGGCAUCCUCCCUCUCUGGUCACAACUUCAGGUGUCAGGAGUGACCUUUACAGUGGAACAGGUCUAGGGCCAGGAAGCUCACAGGAUGAAGAGGUUUGGGUGGAAGGAAAGGGGAAGUCAGAGAAGUCUUUGCAGAAGGAGUGACAUCUGAGCCAAGACCUGACUGAAGCAAGUCACAACUAAGUCCGAAGAAUGAAUAUUUGAGGCAAAGGGAACAACCCCAAGUGCACAGACCCAGAUCUCUAUGAAGUGGAUCCUAAAAUAACCCUCAUUGAUGGAUGAAACUGAGGUUCCGAGAUAACCAAGUAAUUUCUCCAAGGCCACUCAGAUACUGAAGAUUAAAUAAAAAUCCAGACAUUUCUAACCCU